UACGUAGGGUGCAAGCGUUGUCCGGAAUUAUUGGGCGUAAAGCGCACGUAGGCGGAUCGUUAAGUCAGGGGUGAAAUCCUGGAGCUCAACUCCAGAACUGCCUUUGAUACUGGCGACCUUGAGUUCGGGAGAGGUGAGUGGAACUGCGAGUGUAGAGGUGAAAUUCGUAGAUAUUCGCAAGAACACCAGUGGCGAAGGCGGCUCACUGGCCCGAUACUGACGCUGAGGUGCGAAAGCGUGGGGAGCAAACAGG
rnacentral:rRNA from 1 species